rnacentral:rRNA from 1 species
UACAGAGGGUGCAAGCGUUAAUCGGAAUUACUGGACGUAAAGCGUGCGUAGACGGUUACAUAAGUCGGGUGUGAAAGCCCCGGGCUCAACCUGGGAAUUGCAUUCGAAACUGCGUAGCUAGGGUGCGGAAGAGGGAAGCGGAAUUUCCGGUGUAGCGGUGAAAUGCGUAGAUAUCGGAAGGAACACCAGUGGCGAAAGCGGCUUCCUGGUCCAGCACCGACGUUCAGGCACGAAAGCGUGGGGAGCAAACAGG